GACCGCGUAGUUCAACUGGAUAGAAUAUCAGAUUUCGGCUCUGAGGGUUGGGGGUUCGAACCCCUCCGCGGUCG
rnacentral:tRNA from 1 species